GGGGUAGAGAGGGAAGGAGGGAGGGAGAGGGAGAGAGAGGGAAAUGUCACCCGGAGCCCGGGCCCGCGGGGGAGAGGUGGCGCGUUAGAGAUGUGUGUGGGAGAGAGGGAGCGAGAGAGAGAGAGAGAGAGAGAGGGGGAGCGAGACCUCCGCUGGCCCCGCGAACUUGUCAAGUACAAAACACCCAGCUUUUCGGCUCAAAAAGCCUAGACCAUCAUGGCUACGAAAACUGCUGCUCAGUAUAUGUAAUUCUGGAGCUCCUUAAGGAAAAAAGUUGUGUGACGCAACAUCAGAACAGUGGCCAAGUGAUCUUCUCCACAGCAGCCAUGAACUUCAAGCUUGAACCGAAGAAGACUCAUCAAAUGCCUUAGGAAAGCUAGUAUGGAGUUUGAAGAGAAGCACAGAUCUCCAUGAAGAGCAGUCAGUUAUAGUCAUGGUCGGCAUGCUUGGUUGGUCUGACAGUCGACAGGUGUAGCUCAGACCUGGCCACAAUGUGAGCUGCUUCCUGUUCUCCUAAACAUCAGAGGCUGAAAUUUAGAGAAAUCUGUUUAGAAGAGAAUGGGAAAACAGCCAGGCUAGCUUCAGUACAAGUGUGUUGGUGGCACCUGUAAGCAUGCAGGUGUGUGGAGGAACAGGUCCUGUUCUUGCUGUUGUUACUCCCACAUAGGCAGACUCUGUAAUUGAUUAUGUGUGGGUAGGGCCCUAUUGAAAUUCAGGAGAUUCUGCAGUAGUGCGGGGUUCUUUUUGUGAAAGUUCAGUUGCAACAUCAGGACCCUACUGUGACUCCUUACUGUGCAUUCUGUCACUGUCUCAUUGAUUGUACUGGAACCUGCCUAUUGGGAUAAUUACCAAAUACUAUAUUCCUCAAAACUUCUUAAUGGCACUGAGGCUUUGUGGAUAGUUGGUCACAUGAUGAGAAAAUUCAGCUUAAGUUGGCUGAAAGAAAGGAAAGCAGAAUUAGAUUUGGUGAUUGCAAAAAACUCCCUAAACACAGCCUUCUAGCUGAGCAUCUAGAUCAGAAGUGCCUCAGAACAGAUCUCAUUUCAGAGGAGGAAAGGAAGGAAAGUGACAUGCCGGUGAGUCGGUAUGGGGAAUCCUCUGCAUGUUUCAUCUCUAUCUGAUUUUUUCUCUCAUCACCACUGAGAGGCAGGUCACCUGGGUGUGACUGCUUCCCCUUCCUGUGAUUGCAACUUCCCAGUACUUUGAGGGAGAUAAUGUUGGGGCAUAGCUCUGUUCUGCCUGCAGCAGCGCUGCUACCAAUGUUUAGAAGAAAAGGAACUCUGAAUUGUCUCCUGAUGUAACCAGCUCUCCAAUACUCACUGCUCCUUAGCCCUGUUGUUGAGUACCUGAUCAGAUGGUCUCUUUCAUUUAACACAUGCCAUGAUGCUAUAAAUGACUGAAACCAGGACCAAAGGAAUAAAACAGAUAUCAAGAGAAGGAGAUGAUGUUUUGGAAUGGAGGGAGUGGGCAUUUGCUGCACAGCUACACUUUGUCAGCUCUUGAGAAUACCUCAAGAGCUGAAAUGCCAAACUAUAGCAACAAAGUUUCCUUCUGUGCACUGAGAAGGAAGAGCAAAGGAAUGUGCCUCAACAUUCAGCAUGUUUAUUGUAAGUUUUUUUGAUCUCUUCCCCUACUGCUGUUUGCACUCUGCUAGUAUGGUGACUGUCCUGAAUGUAGCAUGUCUUUAUUUGUAUCAAAUGAGGCACUCCUCACGUUGUAACGUCAGGAACAUUGUUUUUCUUCAACCCUUGAAAGUCAAAACAUGGUAGCAUAGAUAGCUGUAACAAGUUAUUAAUAAAAGUGACAUAAAAGAAUUUUCUUAUUUCACAGUAUUUAUAGGAAAAACAAUGUUUUGUGUGUUUCAAAUACCUCUUUUUUUCCAAUCCUAAGCAGAAUUAAUGCAUGAAAAUCUUCUUCAGCAAUACCCUCAGUUCCUUAUUUGCAGUUACAACUAUUACUCUUUUGUUAGUAGGUUUUUUAGUAUUUGGGUUGAGGCCCUCAUAAAACUUCUCUGGACCCUUUCUGAAUGACACCAUCAUGCUGUCAUUUGUUUUGUCAUAAAAUCUAGUGUAAACCUGCAUUUUAGGAAUCUUUUUUCAAUCCAUAAAGGAUGAUUAUUCUUCUCUGUCAGCAGGUUUUUCAUCGAUCAAGUCUUUAUUAGAAAAUCUUUUACUUUGUCUUGACAAAAUGCAGCCUUGCCUUGCUCAUUAGCUGUCAAAGUGCUGCUCUACUGUAAAUACCAUUUUCCAAACCUACUCCUUUGCUAUUUUCAAUUUCUUGCUUCAUUUUAAAGCAAUAAAGAUAAGCUAUCUGUCUUUAUUUUCAAGGCUCAUCAGGACUACUUCUACCUGAUACCUCUCCUUCAGUAUCAAGAGGUUGACUCUGGUUUUGAUCAACAUAUGAUGCCAACUUCCUUCAUUCAGUCAUUGAAUUUUCAGACCACACUGAAUAUUUUCUCCUCAGUUGACUCUAAUGUACUGGUUGACUUCUUCAUAAACAGAAGUGUUCACUAUCUUCCCUCUAAUAUUUUCUUGAAAGUUUUAUGCACUGUGAAGCUUUAAGGAAUCCAACUAGACAACAGUUAUACUGCAGGUAUAUUAAUGCCAAUGCCUAUCACAAUAGUACUGUCACUGCAUUUGGACUUUGCCAUAAUCCCUCUGUUGUCUCUUUACAUAGAAUUUAAGCAUAUCUAUAUUUUGUUGUGUGUUUAUUUAUGGCCCAGUGUAAUACACAGUGGCCCAUGGUGAGGCCUUCCAAGAUUUAUGGUAGUACAGAUAAAUUAUAAUGAAUAUAACUGGAUGCUGCAGCAUAGCUGUUGGAUUCUGUUGUGCCUAAUGCCACGUCAUAAUUUAAUGCAGAAAGAAGGUGCUCCAACCAGAGGCCUCACUAAAGGAAAGUAAGUGAGUUGCAACCAAUAGAAAAAAUGUUAGCCCCAGAGGCCUUCUCAGCUGUCAAACUGAAGUCUGUAGCUACUGCCAUUGUGUCCUGAAAGCAUUCCUCUCCCUCUCCCUCUCCUCCAGAUUCUCCCUUCUUGUAUAAGGAAGUAAGUGCAAAUAUCACAAUGGUCUGCAGUGUAUGCAGAAGGUCUUAUACUUUUGCAGUAAAAAGUAUUUCAUUGCUGACACGGCAUCUCUUGGUACAGAAAUCUUAAAUAACCAUAAUUGUGCCAUUCAUCAGUCCUUUUUUCAAAUGCCGUUUGAUUUCUGUUAGGAAGGAACCUACACUGGUUUUUAUUUGGUAUCUUGGUACAUCCCUAUCUCUAUAAUGCUCUGGUUGCAUUGUGCUUCAAAAAUAAUGAGCCUUCAGAGAAGUGGUAAGGAUUAAUUCAAUUGGGAAUUACCCAGGCAUGUCACCCUGUAAGUAGGUCUGCAUGUACCCCUUUCUUUUAAAGGCACCCUGAAAUGUCAGUGUUUAGAUUGUACAGAGAUGAUGGAAUGUUGAGUGCCUGGCUGAUUACAGAGAUGGUAGAUUGGACUGUGCAGUAUGUACCAAAGAAAAUGUAGUCCAAUAGUCUAUUUUUAUCAGAAUAAACCACAAAAUGUAGUUCUGUAUGGUUCUAUGGCUGAGUAGGAGAACUUUAGUAAGAGCACUGGGCUAGUUGGUGAGAUGGAGGUGAAAUUGCUGUGAAGUACUGUGGGAGCCUGAGGAGUCUGUACAACCCAAAAGCUUGAUCAUAAGCAACAGUUUAUGGUUAUAUAUAACAUACAUAACAUAACAGUUCUUGGUUAUAUAUGUAUAUAUAUACACUGGAUAAACUUAAUGUUAGGCCUCAUUAGGCCAUCAUGCACAGGCUGUCUAUUUAGAUAUCAUUGAGCACUAAUUUUUGAGCAAACAAGAUAGGGAAUCCAGGAGGAGAAAGACAGCCCUUGAUUUAGUCUAGAUCAACAUGCAACAAAUGACUGUGGAAGAACCAUUCAGUAGUGAGAUAUUAUACUCAAGUUUGUCGUACUUGCAGCAGAAAAAAAGCUUAAAAUAAAAUUUUUAAAAAGUCCAGUCUUGUUUAAAAAAAGAAUUGUAUACUAAUGAAGACAGUUUAAAUAAAUAUUGAAAAUACACAGGGGCUUUGUUUUCUAACCCGAUUAAAUAAGACUUUUCCAACACAAUUCAGCAGUAAAAGAAGCUACUAGAAAUAAAUAGAGGUUUUUAAAAAAGCAAAAUCCAAGCAAGCAAAGCAGAAUAGAGCACAAUUCUGGCAAAUGUAGACCUAGUACGAGGCAGAACAAAAAGAUUUUUAAAUGCAAUGGGCUAAAAUUCUAAAAGCCAAAUCCCAUUUUUUUCCACUGUAAACUUUGCUAGAUGAGAAGUGAGUUUAUUAGAUAGUUGUGGUUAAGGAGAAAGACAAAGCCAUUACUGAAAGAAAUUGAACUCAUUGCGCUGGCAAGGUUUAUGACAGCAUGAUAAGGGAUGUCCCCAAAUAGGAGUUAUUUUUAUAGGGAGAAGUUCAGAUUUGAACUACCUCAAUAAAAGGUUUUUAAACAAAUUGAUUGAAUACAUAUUAAUAAAUUGUCCAAUAACAUGCUGUUCAUUCAGUAGUCCUAUAAAAAUUCAGAAAUUAAAUUGGUGAGCAAACCAUGAAAUCUUUUGUGUAAUCUGAUAUAUAAAUUAGCCUUGAUAACAGAGGAAUGGAAAGUAACAAAUGUGACCCUAGUUUUGAAAAGGGUUUUAGGAAUGGUCAUGGACUAAUGGACUAAAAUGUCAGGCUACCAUGACAGACAAAAUGCCAGUGACUGUGUUUAUAGGAACAUGGAUAGGUGUAAUAGCAACCAUCAUGCCUUUUGUAUAAGUAGUUUUGUCUUAGAGUUUUGGUAGUUAUUUGAAAGAGUCAUUUCCAGAUGCACAGGAAAAAAGUGACCCAAAAGUUUUAAAAAGUUCUGUAACUGAAAACUAUUAACAAAAUGAAGUGGCGAGUCACUUAAAAUUCUUUGUGGAUUACUAAAGGGUUAGAAGAUAAGGAGCAGUAUAGAGACCAAUGGGCAGUUUUAACACUGGUUUGUACUGGCACCUUUGCUGGUCCACCUGUUCCUAAACAGUCUGGAAAAGUGCAAUUGUAAAUAUUGCAGAUGAUAAAAGGAAAAUAUUCACAGUUGGAGGCAGACCUAAUGUUGACCCUGAAGAGCUGCAGAAGAAUCUCACAGCAGGACCUGUGGUGAUCCAGGAGCUGUGGCUGUCACAGUGGCCAGAUAUCGCUGACCCCACUGUUCAGCUGAAUCCAUCAUCAGGGAGAGGCAGUGGCUGUUGGAUUACAGCAGCCAUCAGCCCAUAAACCAUGAGCUCAGCAGGCUGUGACCAGUUGUGCCACUCAGGAAGGCAGGGACUUGUAGCUGUUCUUUUUAACAGCAGGG